rnacentral:rRNA from 1 species
UGACGAGUUUGAUCCUGGCUCAGAGCGAACGCUGGCGGCAGGCCUAACACAUGCAAGUCGAACGGACCCUUCGGGGUUAGUGGCGGACGGGUGAGUAACACGUGGGAACGUGCCUUUAGGUUCGGAAUAGCUCCUGGAAACGGGUGGUAAUGCCGAAUGUGCCCUUCGGGGGAAAGAUUUAUCGCUAUUGGAUGGGCCCGCGUAGGAUUAGCUAGUUGGUGAGGUAAAGGCUCACCAAGGCGACGACGGGUAGCCGGCCUGAGAGGGCGACCGGCCACACUGGGGACUGAGACACGGCCCAGACUCCGUACGGGAGGCAGCAGUAGGG